UCUGAUUUUCAUUUUAUUUAGCUUAUUUUCAUUAAUUCAUAUUAAUUUUAAUGUUGAUCCAAAAAAUAUGAGACUUUCACCAAUUUUUUUUAAAUAAAUUCCUCUUUCAUUUUCUGAAUUAAAACUAUUUUUUGGAGCAUUAUUAAUAUUUUUCAUGAUUUAUUUGUUUUUAUGAAUAUUUUUAAUUAUUUAAAAAUAGUUUUAAGUUUCCAAAAAUAAUGAUUUUUUUUCUCCAAGGUCCUUUGACCUUGUUU
rnacentral:lncRNA from 1 species